rnacentral:rRNA from 1 species
GCUCAGAUUGAACGCUGGCGGCAGGCCUAACACAUGCAAGUCGAGCGGAUGACGGGAGCUUGCUCCCUGAUUCAGCGGCGGACGGGUGAGUAAUGCCUAGGAAUCUGCCUGGUAGUGGGGGACAACGUCUCGAAAGGGACGCUAAUACCGCAUACGUCCUACGGGAGAAAGUGGGGGAUCUUCGGACCUCACGCUAUCAGAUGAGCCUAGGUCGGAUUAGCUAGUUGGUGAGGUAAUGGCUCACCAAGGCGACGAUCCGUAACUGGUCUGAGAGGAUGAUCAGUCACACUGGAACUGAGACACGGUCCAGACUCCUACGGGAGGCAGCAGUGGGGAAUAUUGGACAAUGGGCGAAAGCCUGAUCCAGCCAUGCCGCGUGUGUGAAGAAGGUCUUCGGAUUGUAAAGCACUUUAAGNNNGAGGAAGGGCAUUAACCUAAUACGUUGGUGUUUUGACGUUACCGACAGAAUAAGCACCGGCUAACUCUGUGCCAG